rnacentral:rRNA from 1 species
GAUGAACGCUGGCGGCGUGCCUAACACAUGCAAGUCGAACGAAGCAUUUUAGAUGAAGUUUUCGGAUGGAUUCUGAGAUGACUGAGUGGCGGACGGGUGAGUAACACGUGGAUAACCUGCCUCACACUGGGGGACAACAGUUAGAAAUGACUGCUAAUACCGCAUAAGCGCACAGUACCGCAUGGUACGGUGUGAAAAACUCCGGUGGUGUGAGAUGGAUCCGCGUCUGAUUAGCCAGUUGGCGGGGUAACGGCCCACCAAAGCGACGAUCAGUAGCCGACCUGAGAGGGUGACCGGCCACAUUGGGACUGAGACACGGCCCAAACUCCUACGGGAGGCAGCAGUGGGGAAUAUUGCACAAUGGGCGAAAGCCUGAUGCAGCGACGCCGCGUGAGUGAAGAAGUAUUUCGGUAUGUAAAGCUCUAUCAGCAGGGAAGAUAAUGACGGUACCUGACUAAGAAGCCCCGGCUAACUACGUGCCAGCAGCCGCGGUAAUACGUAGGGGGCAAGCGUUAUCCGGAUUUACUGGGUGUAAAGGGAGCGUAGACGGCAUGGCAAGUCUGAAGUGAAAACCCAGGGCUCAACCCUGGGACUGCUUUGGAAACUGUCAAGCUAGAGUGCAGGAGAGGUAAGUGGAAUUCCUAGUGUAGCGGUGAAAUGCGUAGAUAUUAGGAGGAACACCAGUGGCGAAGGCGGCUUACUGGACUGUAACUGACGUUGAGGCUCGAAAGCGUGGGGAGCAAACAGGAUUAGAUACCCUGGNUAGUCCACGCCGUAAACGAUGAGUGCUAGGUGUUGGGGGGGCAAAGCCCUUCGGUGCCGUCGCAAACGCAAUAAGCACUCCACCUGGGGGAGUACGUUCGCNAGAANGAAACUCAAAGGGAANUUGACGGGGGACCNGCACAAGCGGGUGGAGCAUGGUGGUUUUAAUUUCGAAGCAACGCGAGAACCUUACCAAGGUCUUGACAUCCUCUUGACGGCGUGUAACGGCGCCUUUCCUCGGGACAGAAGAAGAACAGGUGGGUGCAUGGGUGUCGUCAGCUC